rnacentral:lncRNA from 1 species
UCUUGAGUCAUACUUAAUAUACCUAGCGCAUUCCCUAAGUUUUGAACCCUUCACCUCUGGGUUGAGGAUGGCCUUAUUCACCUUUGUCGUUUGGGAGGGGUUUUUUUUCUCUUCCUUGAAAAAAAAAUGAAAAGUGAAAAGUGAAAGGAGGAAAGAGAGAGAAGAGAAGGGAAGAAAAGUAAAAAAGGUGAAGUGAAAAGUGAAAAGGAAGAGAGCGGAGGGAGAAGACGUGAGAGUGACCGGAAGAGAGAGAAAAGAAAAGAAGAAGAGAAAUUGCUCCUGUUCAUCUUCCUCGGUGAACCGAAGCGCUUCGCCAGCCAUACCCAUUGGUUUCCAACUGCGAACGCCGGUGCCGAUUGUCACGCCCGCGCCGCCGCGCUGCAGACCUGCAUGCGACAGCCGAGUUCAACGCCGGAGCCCUGACGGAUAGCCCUCUCCUCACGACGACCUGAACCCCACGCGUACACGAGCUCCUUCGCCGCAGUCUCUGCUCUGUUCCGGGCCCCCUCGCCUCACCUGCAACCCGUGAGACCGGCGAAGCCGCGGCUGCCCCUACUCUGUUCCGGGCUCCCCUGUUGUUCGAUCUCAGCUGCCGCUGGUCACUGCGCCUCUCUGGAGCUCCGAACCCGUGAGCCCCUUUGCCGGCCACCUCCGCCACCAACGCCACAGAAGCUGGUCCCGCUUGCCCUUGCUGCUCUGCCCCGACACCUGCAGCGCCUCCGCCGGAGCCCGAUCCGCUCAGACCCUCCGCCCAGAUCUGCUCGAGCACCAACGGCACCGCCUUCCACCCGUAGCGGCGAAGCCACCGAGCCGCACCGGUCACCUCACCAGCACCGCCCGUGCCCGCCGCUGCAACGCCGCGAGCUCGCCCUGCUGCACCUCCACCCGCCGGUCAUCGAGCCAUCCUCCGAAUUGCCGGACCUCGCCGGAGCUCCGCACCUCCGCAACCUCCGAUCGACGGUGACGCCACCGUUACAGUUGCCGCCCUUCACUGGAGCCGGUGACCAGCCACACGAGCAUAAGCCGUGCUUGGGAAGAAAAAGAAGAAAGGAAAAAACAAAAGAAAAAAAGAAAAGGAAAUUAGGUAGUAUAUUUUUAUUUUUUAUUUUUUUACUUAUUUCAUGUUAUGUUAGCUUUUUUUUUUUUAAAGUUUAAUUAUUUAAAUUGUAAUAUUGUAUGUCAAUAUUUGUAGACCUUGUAGACAUUAGGAGUUUUAUCCCAAAUUAAGGUAAUUAUUAAUUUGACCCGUAAGACGUCCGGUCAUUUUUUUAAUUACUUUAAUUUUUUAGGAAUUUUGAUAGCAUUUCAAUCUUUAAAUCAUUAUAGAGUUAAAAUAAUUGUUAAUUUAAUCCGUGAGACAACGGAUUAUUUUUAGGUUAUUUUAAUUCUUAUCUUCAUUCUUUUAAAAUAAUUACUUCUUUGGAAAGAUUAAAAAAAUAAAAAAAAUCAAAAAGUACAUAAAAAUCUAAAUCUUGCAUUAGAGCAUGUAGGUUUAUUUAAUUAGAAUUUUUUUAUUAGUAAAAUUAUAUCAUAUCUAGAAUUUAGGCACUUAGGUCCAUACACAUUUCAGAUUUAAAGCAGCGCGUUUUGAUUUUUAAGAUUCAUAUAAAAUUAUGAUAAUUUUCCUUUAAUAAAAAUCAAAACAAAAAAGAACAAAAGAAAUGUUAUUUAGGUUAUAUAGAUUUCAUAAUGUGCACACCAUAUGUUGCGCUUUAAUUAGUGGGUCGUAGGUUGAUACUUUAAUACUCCUGUCGUGUAGUAGUUUUUUUUUUGUUUUUUUGUUUUUUUUUAAGCCAAAGAUUAGUAUUGCAUCAUUAUGUUAUUCUUAAAAAUUAUUAAGUCAUAUUUAAAAAAAAGAGAGAGAAGAAAACACAAAAGUCAUUUAUUUGGUUAGUUAACAGGUUAGUUCAUAAUUAAUCUUAUUUCAUGUCAUCAUUGUUAGUAUAGGUUGCAUAUGUGUAAUAAAAAAACCAUUAAAAAAUCAUAAAAAGAACAUGCAUAUAAAAUUACCACGUCAUACAUCUCAUAUCAUACAGCACAUGCAUAUUUAGGAUUAUAUAAAUUUGAUUGCAUAUAUAUAAUGAUAAGUUUAAGUCAUACCAUAUGAAUCGCAUUGUUAAAGUAAAAUCCAUGCAUAUUAAAUUUAGAUUAAGAUUGCAUAUAAUUAAUUUUUUUUAAAGAAAAAGAAAAAAUAGGUGUUCUGUCAUUUAGAAAUCAUGUUUAGGGCAUGCAUUUUUAUUAGCAUUUUUAUUGAAUGUUAUUUUAUUGAUUGUGCACCCGCAUGACCACUAUUUGCAUGUUAGUAGUUUAAGUUAAAAUUAAUCAACAUUGCUUGCAAAAUAUUUUUGAAAUUAAAUAAAAGUUACCGAAAGGGCAUUAAACUAAUCUAGCGUAAUCAUGUCCCCGAACCUACUGAAUCUCUGGUUCGCAAAAGUAAAGUAUUCUCCCAUACUUUACUUGGAUUUCUAACCAACCUAAUUGGUUAGUGGCGGCUCCAAAUUGAAUAUAAUUGCAUGUUUAAAUAGAUUAAUUUCUUAACAUUAAGUCCCGAUUGGUAGGACUUUGGAGGGUCCGUGCCAAGUCUUCGGACUUAGUAAUCCAUUAGCCUUCUUUAAGUAAUUCACCUUCAAAAAUUUUUUAGGAAGGUCGCGACAGCUUGGCGACUCCGCUGGGGACAUAAUUAAAUGCAAAUGGGAAAUCCUUUGGCCCCGUUUGGUUCAGCAUUUGGGAAAAGGCUUUUCCCAAAUGCAAAUGUCUUUAGCUCAAAGAGCUUUGAGGGAAUGCAAGACUGUUUGGUAAAUUAUAACUGGAAAGUGCUUUGGGGAAAUGCGAGACUGUUUGGUAAACAUAUACUUGAAAAGCCUUUUGGUGUGACCAAAUUAAAAUUUUUACUUUUAAUAUUUUAAAAAUUGCAAAAAAGAAAUAAUGACUAUAUAACAUUUUACAUUUUCAUAUUGAGAGUAAUGUAAAAUAUACAUAUUAGUAAAUUUAUUUAAAAAUUAUAUUAAAAGAAUUUGAUUAUAGAUUAAAUGCAAAACUCAACUUUUGGCCUGGGGUUCUUUUAGGUUUGUUUUCAACUUUGAAUAUUUUUUUUAAUUAUUAUAGUAUUAAUCAUUUUCGUUAAUUAAUGAUCAUUUUAGUGUAUUGAUAAAAAUUUGGGUUAUUAAUUAUUAAAAGAUAAACAUGAUAUAGAAAAAAAAAAGAUGAACUUAUUCGGUGGACGAUAAAGCGACCGAUUAUGGAUGCUAAUUUUUUUGAAUAAGCACUGCAUAUAAAAAUGAAGGUCAUCAUUAAGAAAAAUAAAACAAAAUUCAUCUCAUACAAAUUUGACUAAAAAGAGUCAUUUCAUAAUAGUACACAAGGUCAUAUAUGUCCGGAAAAAAAGAAACACGUUAUACUUAAUAUUACAAACCUCAAUGAUUUUGUAAACUUAUGGUUAUUUCAUCACGUAAAUGUGCCAUGUCUGAAGAUGCAUACAGAUUUGAAGCACCCACCCCUUCAUUUGCAUCAUCAUCGUCAACUGAAUAUUCAUAAUUGAGAUCCAAUUCUGCUUGUUCAAAAUCCGUAUCAGUCACGUUAUUUAUUUAUUUUUUUGGUGACCCAGGGAACCUCCGAUCGCCGCUUCGCGGUGGAGAGUAAACCCUGGGGAGACACGUGGGAAACCACCACCCACGUGCCCCGGGUAAGGCACGGCUAGCACUGAAGUAACGAUGACGCCGUGGAUCGAACUCAGGACCUCUCGUGAAAAGUUCCCUUGCUCAACCACCUACGCCACCACCACGGGUGGUAUCAGUCACGUUAUUUCUCCGUAUAUAAUUGUGCAAAGUCAUUGCCGCUACCACAAUUUGCACUUGCUUUUCACAUGGAUAACUUGGCAUAUAAGUUAAAAUCCCCCACUUCUGUUUUAAUACACCAAAGGCUCGCUCAAUUGCCGAGCAUAACGAGGAAUGGGCACGGUUGAACACUUCUCGAUAUCCCGUAGGUGAAGGACCUCCUUGAAACUCUGGCAAAUGAUAUCUAACUUCUUUAUAUGGCCCCAAAUAACUAGUCGGAUUUGGAUAUCCAGCAUCUACUAAGUAAUAUUUACCUAUAUAAAUAUAUUGUAAAUUUAAUCAACAUAUGCCAAUUAGAUUUAUGGAUGUAUCUAAACCAUUGAAUAACAUACCUGGAGGAGGAUGGGGAAAAUGUGCAUCAUGUCUUCCAAUAGCUUCAUAAAAGAUACGGGUAUCAUGAGCUUGUCCCUUCCAACCGGCCCAAACAUAGACAAAUUCCAUAUUAAAAUUACAUAUGGUUAACACGUUUUGAGUUGUUGUUCAUUUUCGACCAAUAAAACGAAUUUGAUCAAACGCAGGUACAACCGCUGGAAUAUGUGUACCGUCAAUAGCUCCAAUACAAUCUUUAAAAUAUGGAUAAAAUCGUCGAUCUUUCUUGAUAUUCUCUGGAACUUUUCUAUAUUGUGGAUCAGUUGGUUGGAUCAAAUCUUUUCCCAUAUCACAUACUUUAUCUAAAACUAAGCUGAAGUGCCUACUGAUGGUUUCUCCGGAGCGUUGAAAACGCUAUUGUGCUAAUCUAUUACCUAUACCAUGUCCUAGAACAUGAAGAAACAUACCAACCAUUUCUCUAACAUCGGUAUUCCUAGAUCCUCGAAGGCCAUAACGUGUUACUAAAUCAUGCGUUAAAUUGUUAAAUACAAUCUUAUGCAUUCUAAACAUAUUGUAGCACAUUAUCGGAUUAGCAUCUUCGCUAAUCAACUCUUUUAACCAUACAUAACCCGUAUAUGUUGAGGUCAUGCAAGGUUGUUUGCAAAGGUUGGUCGCUUGAUAAAGAAUUGCAGCUUCAGUGACCGAGAUAAGAUCACGUAAUUCAUUUUCUUCUUGCUCAUGAUUUUCCUUUGUAUGUGAAUCAUCCAUAACUGCUUCAAGUAACAAAAUAUAAAGAAAAACAAUGUAUUAACCAUCACAUAUAUGCAAACUAUCACAUUAAGAGAACACCAAAUGAAAACCAUUAUAACAUCAAACAUUAAUUGAAAUUAGGUUCACAAUAACUGCAAAUAAAGAUCCAUAGAUAGAAACAAAGUGGAAUGACUAAACUUCAAAUAUUAAAACAAUAAGAUGCUAAUAUCCUAUCCACAAAGACUUGAUUCUUUUUUCGACUCAUAUUUGAGAUACUUUACUUUCUUUGCAUUAUCCUUUAAGCUCAUAAAAACUUGCCUAUUGUUUAUAUUUUCCUUUAAAUGAGAAAUUGCAAAAAAGUACAAAUCUUCGUCUUCCACAAUCCCAGUAAUAGAAUCCAAUAUCUCUAUGAGAUCCUUAUAAGGACCGACUAAACUGGUUGCUUUGGAUGCAACACUAGUAGUGCUCCUACUCUCAACAACUGUAAGCAGCUUGUUAAUCUGUGUUCCGAGCUCUUCUCGUGUUCAAUUUCCUAUCUUUUUUUCCUCGAGCUUGCAUCUUUGAAGUCUGUGUGGCUCUCUUACGAGUUUGAGUUCCAGUUGGUUCAACGGUUUCAUCCACAUGAUCCUCAAAGUUUUCAUCAGUAGACCCUACAAUAUCAUCGAUACCAGGUUGUGUGGUCUCCAUAUCAUUAUUAACACAUAAACCUUGUGCAGGAUUCCAUGUGAUUCCUCCAGUAGCAACUGUAUCUCUGAACAUCAUAUCAACUUUACUUCAAGAUCAUGAUAUAUGCCUUUCAUCCUAAAAGCCUUAAACUUUGGAUUAGCCUGUUGUCAUGAAGCAUUUGCAUAAGUUAUAUUAUUAAAGGUGAGCUUAACAUGAAAGUAAAAAAAGAAGUGAGGAAAACCUGAAUUUUACUCUCCCACCAUUCGUCACUCGCAUCAAUGGUUUUCUUCCUUGAAUCCCAUCCUAAUCCAGUUUCAUUGUAAAGCAAUGACCUCCAUCUUUUCCAAUCUUCCUUGAGGUUAUCCCACUUACUCUUCAUUUUAUGUUUAUCAUACUUUUUGCCCGUUAGCUCCUCAAACUUACUAAUUAUGACUGUCCAUCCAUCUCUUUUGUUGUUUGCAGGACGAUUGCCUUUUUCAAUUUGUUCGAUGCAUAACUUACAAAAGAUUUCUACAUCUUCCGAGCUCCAAAAUGCAUUUUCCUUUGAUAAACUCAUCUACUAGUAAAGAACAAAUUUAAGAGACACAAACAAACAAUAUCAACCACUCAAGCCCUCUCUUAUUAAAAAACUAGAAGAUAUUCACUUAAAGAAAAGAAAACUAAUAUUGAGAAAAAAUAAGGACACACAAAAACAUUAUACUUAAAAACAAAGUAGGAUGUCAAUGUGGAGGAGCUAUAUAUCUCGCAUGAGCUGAAUCCACCUCAAUUGAUCUUCCCCGAUACACAUACGUGGAGUUUGUUGCUUAAUAUAUCUUAGCACUUACUAUCUCAAGCAGAACAAUUGCCAUAUAAGAUAAUCAUAAGAAACUAUAUCUUAUGUCCAAAUAUGUUUUUCAUUUGUUUAUUCAUUUGCUUUAAUUACAACAACAAAUUAAACCAUCAAGGAGUCAUGUUGAGCAUUUCGUUAUUGUUUCUAAGUUAUCCCUCCUGCAAUUCGAGCAAAAUGAAACCAAGACGUGGGUGUCGAAUAGGUAGGUGUUUUUUUAUGACCAUAUAUCAUCUUGCAAACCAAAACAGAGAAUAUUGCUGCUCUCACCCUAUUAUGUUUCCCUAAAGUAGAUAACACACUUUAACUUCUUGAACCGUAGGGAAUAGGACUACCUAGGAAAUAGUUCACUUAGAGACAUUACUUUACCUAGACAAGAGUAUAUAGAGACUUUCACAUAAUUACUUAAUAGAUACUAUAAUUUACUUGCCCAAAACUAUUCUUACAGUGCAUUCAUAUGGCAGACCUGUUACAACAACAUGUUUAAGAGGCAUGAUCAUGCUGAAAGUAUUGAUGAUAUCACAUAUUUUGCCUUAAAAAGGAGAAUCUAUCAGCUUCAAUUACCAUUAUUUCAGUGGCAAAACUAACUUUACUUUGGAAUUGCCAUAAACAUCUUAAUUCAUAAUAGGACCUUGUUACAAUUUCUUCGGUCAAAAGUCCGCAACUUCUUCAAAAAGUAAUUCAUAGAAUCAGCACAAUCAAUCACAACCGCACAAGUAAAAUUGCAAUGCCAAAAUUUUCCCCUCUCAUCACGCCAAAUCUGAUAAAGCCUAUCAGCAAUCAUAUGGCCCCAUAUCAAGCCAUGCCGCACAAACACCCCAUGCUACCGAUACUCCGCCAUAAUCGAACUCGCCACUCGGAAAACAGUUUCCCACUCAGAAAAUUUCUAAAAAGAGCUACACAACUGAUCCAAUCCCGAAACACACCCACCAGCACAUAAACCACCGAAACGCAUGCAUGCAAAGAGGGGGGAAACAAAAACCCUCCUUCCCCAGAACACACAGACAAGAAAAAAAAUCUGAACAAGUAAAAAAAGCACAAAGCUUGCACCUGGUCUGCUACUGCUACUGCUUCCUUCUUCCUCCCCUUUGCUUCAGCGUCCCCACGGAUGCGGCUCUAAAUCCCGUCAAUCAAGAAAACACACGAUCGAAGUCAAGACCCGGGUCUCUCUCUCUCCCACAUCGGGCAAAAACAAGAAAACAUUAAAUACCCAGCGAAGCGGGGAGGGGCAAGAACGACAACACCAGAAAAACAGAAUCAUACCCACGACCCGGACGGACGAACAAGAACAGGGGGAGAAAAGAGAGAGGGAUCGCCAUUGCGGAGUGGCAACCGAAGAGAGAGAGCGAAGAGAGAGAGAGAGAGAGAGAGAGAGAGAGUGUGUAGAGAAACCAAAAUGAGAUUUCAAAGGAAAAAUCCAGCAGAUCUAGAAAACCAGAGAGAGAGAGAGCUGAUUUGGGGACCCGAGAAACCCUAGGGAUCAAACCCAGAGCGAGGGAUGAAAUCAAAUGAUCUCUUGCUCUUCGCGGAGGCAACAACGCAGAGAGAGACGAUAGGAGAAAUCAACUCAGCAGAAUCGCAUUCCACAAGGGAAGGCUUCUUCUCAAGGAGGUCCACUCACCCGGGGAUCGAACCGAGAGGGCGUCGGCCUUGUGAUCAGCGAACCCGUGCGGUGCCUCGGGGGAGAGAAAGAGACGAGGACGACUGGUUGCGAGAGUGGAGGCGAUGCUGCGAGAAUCAACGAGAGCGGACGUGCGAAGAACCGUGCGAAGAAGAAAAGAGCGGACUUCGCACGUGCGAAGAAGAAAAGAGCGGACGUGAAAGGUAGGGUUGAGAAAGGUAGGGUUAUGUUUUGUAUGGGAUAAAAUGGGACUUUUAAUAAAAUUUUGGGGGCAAAAUGAGCAAUAAGCAAAAAUUCAUUAACCCUCCCACCAGCAUCCCGAAAAUGCUGAAAUGCCCAAAGCAAGUCCCCACCAGCUUUGGGCUUUCAGCAUUUUAAAAGCAAGCAUUUUGGCAAGGAGCCUUCAAAUGCUGAACCAAAUGGGGUUAAUUUUUUCCCAAGGGGCUUUGGGGCGGGGCCAAAAAUGAAAAGUGAAAAGUGAAAGGAGGAAAGAGAGAGAAGAGAAGGGGAGAAAAGUAAAAAGGUGAAGUGAAAAGUGAAAAAGGAAGAGAGCAGAGGGAGAAGACGUGAGAGUGACCGGAAGAGAGAGAAAAGAAAAGAAGAAGAGAAAUUGCUCCUGUUCAUCUUCCUCGGUGAACCGAAGCGCUUCGCCAGCCACAGUCGCCGGUCUCCAAUUGCGAACGCCGGUGCCGAUUGUCGCGCCCGCGCCGCCGCGCUGCAGACCUGCAUGCGACAGCCGAGUUCAACGCCGGAGCCCUGACGGAUAGCCCUCCCCUCACGACAACCCGAACCCCACGCGUACACGAGCU